rnacentral:tRNA from 1 species
GCGUCCGUAGCUCAACUGGUCAACGGCGAAUCGAAUAGGCACGUGCGCGAAGGCGAGCGCCAGCCCUCAAGCCGAAGGGAUCGAGACCAAAUCUUCCCCUUAUCGGUGGCUGAUGCCGCGCAAGCGGCCCUUGCUGGAUCGCACACAGCCGAAAGUAAGCUCAAGAGCUCCAGGUUUAGGGCCUGGAAGAUGCGGGUUCGAAUCCCGUCGGGCGCA